rnacentral:rRNA from 1 species
GAUGAACGCUGGCGGCGUGCCUAACACAUGCAAGUCGAGCGAUUCUCUUCGGAGAAGAGCGGCGGACGGGUGAGUAACGCGUGGGUAACCUGCCCUGUACACACGGAUAACAUACCGAAAGGUAUGCUAAUACGAGAUAAUAUGCUUUUAUCGCAUGGUAGAAGUAUCAAAGCUUUUGCGGUACAGGAUGGACCCGCGUCUGAUUAGCUAGUUGGUAAGGUAACGGCUUACCAAGGCGACGAUCAGUAGCCGACCUGAGAGGGUGAUCGGCCACAUUGGAACUGAGACACGGUCCAAACUCCUACGGGAGGCAGCAGUGGGGAAUAUUGCACAAUGGGCGAAAGCCUGAUGCAGCAACGCCGCGUGAGCGAUGAAGGC